rnacentral:rRNA from 1 species
AGUGAACGCUGGCGGUAGGCCUAACACAUGCAAGUCGAACGGCAGCACAGUAAGAGCUUGCUCUUACGGGUGGCGAGUGGCGGACGGGUGAGGAAUACAUCGGAAUCUACUUUUUCGUGGGGGAUAACGUAGGGAAACUUACGCUAAUACCGCAUACGACCUACGGGUGAAAGCAGGGGAUCUUCGCACCUUGCGCGAUUGAAUGAGCCGAUGUCGGAUUAGCUAGUUGGCGGGGUAAAGGCCCACCAAGGCGACGAUCCGUAGCUGGUCUGAGAGGAUGACCAGCCACACUGGAACUGAGACACGGUCCAGACUCCUACGGGAGGCAGCAGUGGGGAAUAUUGGGCAAUGGGCGCAAGCCUGAUCCAGCCAUGCCGCGUGGGUGAAGAAGGCCUUCGGGUUGUAAAGCCCUUUUGUUGGGAAAGAAAAGCAGCAGGUUAAUACGCCGCUGUUCUGACGGUACCCAAAGAAUAAGCACCGGCUAACUUCGUG